AUGCAACGUUUUACAGACGCGCCAUUUUGCGGUCACCUGCACUGAAGUUCGAUAGUUUUAAUCGUUUUUUCCGAAAGUAACAGUCUUUAUCAUUCCGCUGCAUAAUCAUGAGUGACCAAGAGCGAUCAAAAUCAAGGUCCAAGUCCAGGUCGUUCACCAGAUCCAGGACAAGGUCAAGGACACCUAAGUCGCCUGCCAGAUCCCCCUCUCAUGAUUCCCCCAGCCCUCGAGCCCGCCGCACCAGGAGCAAGUCAUAUUCAAGGUCCAGAUCUAGGUCUCCCAGCUAUCCUCGUCGUCACUACUCACGCUCACGCUCCAGAACAAGGAGUCCAUAUUACAAGAAAUCAUACAAGAGGUCAAGAAGCAGAAGUCGCUCACCAAGUCCAUACAGAAGAGGCUCCGGAGACAGGAGAAGGUACAGAAGUCACAGUCGCUCUCCUAUGUCCUCCAGGAAGAGGCAUGUUGGGAACAGGGAAAACCCAGAGAACAGUAACUGUUUAGGUGUGUUUGGUCUCAGUCUGUACACACAGGAGAGGGACAUCAGGGCAGUGUUUGAGAAGAUUGGACCCCUGACAGAAGUCAACGUGGUACAUGACAGACAGACUGGCAGGUCCCGGGGGUUCUGUUUUGUCUACUUCAAGCACAUGGAAGAUGCCAGGGAGGCCAAAGAGACGUGUAAUGGCACAGAGAUUGACGGGCGCAGAAUCCGUGUAGAUUACUCCAUCACAGAAAGAGCACAUACACCCACACCUGGCAUCUAUCUGGGGAAGCCCACUAGGAAGGGUGACAGGGAUAGGAGGAGUGGUGGGUAUGGAGGUGGCUAUGACCGCCGGGGAUAUGGCUAUGACCGCCGCAGAUCACCCUCUCCAUAUUACAGCCGCAGACCAAGCCGCUACUCCAGGUCAAGGUCAAGAUCAAGGUCAUACUCUCCAAGUAUUGAAGAAAAGAAUUUGAAGUAUUUGAAGAAAGAAACAUGAAGAAAGAAAAAAGAAAUAAGAAAAAUGAAGGGUUGAAGAGGGAUGGAAGAAGUGAAUUUGGAAAAUGGAGGAAAAGAAUAAGAAAAAAGAAAAAUUGGAGAGAAAAUUAAGAAAGGAAGAUCUUGAAAUUAAAUUAUGAAAUUAGAAGAUGUUGAUGAUAAUGUGCUUCGGGUGCCUGUGCUUGGAAAGAAGUGGAUUUUAGAAGAAAACGUAAAAAGGAGAUGGAACAAGAGUAAAUUGGUAAAAGAUUGGUAAAUGGUGCACCAGGAAGAAAGGAUGUAGAUAAAUUCCCAUUUAUGAACACCAGGAUAAAGGCAGCUAGAGGUCCUGUAUUGAGAUGCUGCUAGUCUCUGGUGGAUGGACAGUUGACACUGUCAUUUCAGGAUAAAAGCAGCUAGAGAUGCUGUAUGGGGUGCUGCUAGUCUCUGGUGGAUGGACAGUUGACACUGUCAGCAGUCAUGUAAUCACUUGAACAGAUCCAAACUACUGACAAAAAGAUUUUUCAUCAUGCUGGAAAGAAUUCAGUUUUUAUGGUACCGUAAACAGUGUACUCUCACUUGCAAGUCAUAGGUUGGAGGGGUGGGUGGCUGAGACAAGAAUGUUGGACCACCCCUCCGUUUUUUUUUUUUUAUUUUUUACAGUUGGGAGAUUUUGAAAUGACAGCUGGUUUGUGCUGUGUGAAGUCAUAAAGACAGUAAUGAAAGACCAAAUUUUGAUCAAACAUUGACUGACAUUUUCUGGUACAUUUUAUUUGAAAUAAAAUUAAUACUAA
rnacentral:misc_RNA from 1 species